AAGACACACUUCAAUGGACAUCAACACUAUCACUCCUGAAGAAGAAAAAAAGAAAGGAAAGAAUAUUGUAAGCAAAUCGUGCCAUCGUAUGACAAUCAGUGUUCGUCGUUGUGCCAAUAACAACGCAAUCAAUCUGAAGAAACCUAUUCAUAGUAUUCAUAAUCAUCACUCACGUAUACAUACGCGUAUACACUCACGUCCAUAAGAUUGAUUCACCGAAUAAAACUUCCAUAAACCUUAAUAUAAGAAACAAUUCUACUUUUUAUUUGCACACACAUCGACGAAUCCCCCGAACAAAAAUAAACUGCUAAAUAUCUCUAUAAUUAAAUACAUUAAUGCUCGAUGAUCCUCGUUCAUCAUUAUACGUCUAAUCUAACUCCAUCCUAUAAUUAGGAGUUCUACGAUAACGAUCACUUAUGUUACAAUGUAUUAACCCUUAACAGCCGAACUUAAUUAUAAUUAAUUAUAGAAAAUGAAAUGCUUCAUUAUACGGAUAUUUGAAGUAAUAUUCUGUAUUAUACAGGGUGUCUGGUAAUUGAUACUGUGAUAACCAGUGGUUAGUUAAUGUGGUUAAUAACCAGUGGUACAGGAUAAUACUAUGUGAAAGGAUCUGUUGAAAAUAUAGAACGAGAGAUUUUCGUACGACGUUCGAGAGAAUGAAAUUCUGAAGCUUUGUCAACUCGUGUUCACACGACAUUCACGAAACAUAUUCAAAAUUUAUUUUCUCGAAAAUACGAAGAAUCAUCAGUUACGAAACACUCUGUACUAUAUCACAUUAUUAUAUCACUAUCGUAUUGAUAAGAAAUGUCGAUAUUAUAACUCCUUAAGACUCCCUUAAUAUUUAUUUGCGAUUCAGCUUAAUAUGUAUUUCAAUAUUAAAUUGUAAUGUGUAAUUUCAAGAUUAAAAAUAUAAAAGAAUUCAUUCCUGAUUA